CCCGACCUGGUGUCCCGAAGUGCCUGAUAGUGGCACGCUAAGGCAAAAGCUGUGUCAGCAGCAUAACUCGUAUUUUUCAUGCAGAUCCUAGAUCCAAGGGAAUAUUUCAGCUGAAGGUUGGAUUAGUCUGCGGCAGUCUGGUCUGCGUGUCUCUGAAGAACACCAUUUAGCAUUACCAGGCAAUCUCUUUGUCGCUGACUCUUCCCUGCAUGUACGGUGCUAAUUGCCAAGGCAUCUCCUAAAAGCUAUUUUCAUAUGCAUUUGCACAACAGAUUUGAAAGGCCAUGAGGAUGUACUUAGCGCUGCUGUAAAUGGGAAAUGUUGCCCCAUGUUUCACAAUAAUGACAUUCUGGAACCUGCCAAAUGCAUAGUUUUAUCACUUAUAAUUCAGAUGAUCUGCGGACCAGUAUUCUUGGCUGUAAUGGAUUAUCACUUCAUCAUGCAAGCACAUCACAGCCUGUAGUGAGAGCCUGCUGGUGGGGAAACCACAGACUGAAAUCGAUGGAUUUCUUCACUGGCCUCUACGUUAUCUCCCUGUCUCACUGAGCUGCUGUCGUCUAGAAAAGGCACCAAAUUAACAUGCAGGUCAAGCAUCGAGGGGCGAUUUUUCUUUACGGCUUCUGUAUGGGCACGGGAAUAUGGAUGUGGCUGUAGCAGCAACCGAAGCUGUGUCUGGGCUGUGCCCUCUUCAGGGGAGCUCACACACCGGAGCUUUCCCCAUCACCUGCAGACGCGUGUGAAUGUGGAAUCAAAGGACGGGGUGAAGGUGGCAAGGACAGAUGUUUCAUUUUUCAGGCUUUGGUUGCCUGAGGUUUUACAGGGUUUUGUUUGAUGAAAUAAAAUGGAGAGGCAGCAUGCUCUGAUCACGGUCCUGGUGCUUCCAAAUUAGAUGGGGGUUCAUGUGCAUGGUUCUGCCCAGGGCUUCUCAAAGCCCUGCAUUUGCUUACAUUUUGCAGAUAGUCUUAACCUGGCUAUAUCUAAGGACCUUUUGCCCUGCUGUCAAGCACCAAAGAGAGCUCCCUGCAGAGUGUGGCAGGAGUUUGGGGCUGUCACAGUCUAGGUCCAUAACCCAGAGAACCGCUGGCUUUCCUUGCACGUCAUUCAUCUCAGUUCAUCAGGUUCCACCCGAGGCUUAGCAAAGCAUCUCGCCUGUCACACAGAGGUGAGAGCAAGCCCAGCCCCAGGGAGGGGGUGGAUUUACAGCUACCUGUUGGGUUCAGGUGAAAUGUGACAAUUGCUGCUAAGCCCCUUGCGUAGAGCCAAACAAGGCACGGGGGCUUGGACCUGCCCCCAUGCUUUGUGGGUCCAGGGUCCCCCGAACUGGUAGAUUUAAUGGUGAGACUUGAAAAUAAUUAGAUGAGUUUUUAGGUCCUAAAGGUAAUUGGGAAAGCUUUAUUCUAGAAAUAAACAGAGACUGGGGGAAGGUACUGCUCCCUGAUGUGACCUGUGCCCACUGCCUGCGCAGGGGAUCAGACAGGAAUUUUUUUUCCUCUCUCGGGUGAUUUGCAGGUAACAAAAUGCCCGGCUCCUCACUGCAGCCAGCCUGGGGUCUCUGCCUCACCGAACCCCACGCUUGGCCAACAGCCUCGUGGGGAACCUGGCCUCAGGCAUCCCGCUGGGUGCCUCGGCUGCCCCGCACAGAGAGCGGUGCCGCAGUCUGGGAGGGGAUUUAUAACGCUGGGUGACUUCUGUGGCAGUAACCAGUAACUGGCCUACAUCUUGGUCUUGCAAGUGCGUAUUUCUGUAAGUGUGGGAGCAAGCAUUCUGCCUCUUGCUCAGCUGAGGGAUAAUUCUCCUGCUGCUGAACAAUGCGCUGCAGGGAGCCGCUGCUCCUCUCAUCCGCCCCACUUGAAAGGCCUCGCUCAGGAGCGAGGUAUUGCUUGGGAAGUUACAAAGGUCCCCAGAGCCCUGGGCAACCCCAUUCAGCUAAUAUCUCAACUUCUGACAACCAAUAUCCACUGUCCUGCCCCAAAACUAAUUAAUUUUAUACAUGAGUGAAUUUAACACCAUCAUUUAGCUCUGUCUGCUAGAGGAGACUUUGAAGUACAAACUGAUUAUGCAGGGAACAAGCGGGGAGCUGGUUAAUAAGUUCCAACAAAGUGUAUGCUUCUGGGAGGCCGUGUUAGAUUAAACGUGGGAUUUUAUUGUUGUUUUGUCUUGGACUUCAGCUUAAAAACAAGGCGGUGGCAGCGUUUAUCACCGCAGAGAGAAACCCAGUGACAGCACUGGGAAAUGUGUAAAAGCUACAAAAGUGUUAAUGAUCAGAACCCAGCUCUGCCUCCUCUGAAAAUCUCAUUCCUCACCUCAUUUGUUUAGCUGUUUCACUUCAGGCAGACUGGUUGUUAACGGGGGAAAACAAAGUGAAUGAGCUCCACAAUCCUGCUUGUUGUGAAUGCCGUUUGUUGGAUGUUCUUAAAUCCCAACACCCAUCUCUACUGCUGCUAAAGGCCUUCCCUCUGGGUGACACCUCAGUAGCUGUUUUCUCUUUUUUUUCCCUGGCAGUCUCGAGUGGGUGAGGAGGUAUUUAAUUGGAUUUAAAUGGCACUCCAUUACCCACUAGUCACUUGAUAACACUUCUGAGGGAAAACAGAGCAGGAAAUAUGCACUGAACUUCAGCACAGGUUCCCGGAGAAAGGGGUUGCCAAAGGGCAGCCAAGUCGCAGUGAUCAUAUUCUCCUGGGAUGACCUUGGUUUGGGCAGUGGUAAUGGCAGUUACGGGAUCUGAAGCUGGUUGUGGCUGUGGAAAAUCUGCCCCUCACCAAAAGGCAAAACACAGCUGCAAAAAGGUUUGUAAAGUCAAAUUAAAACUAACCAGAGGAAAAUGUCAGCAAAGGCAUCAAAUGAACCAUUUCUGAGACUUUACUGACUUUAUUCUUCCCCUCAUUUCUUACUUUGCUAAUGGAGAAAGACAUCAGAAGAAGAAAGGGAAAGAUGCAGAUCGUGAAUUAGACUGCCUGCCUAAAGCAGACUGCUGGUUUUCUCGAAAGCUCUGCUCUCCCCUCCAUCCUUCCUGGCAUGGUCAGAUACUGGAUCUGUGUUUUGUGCACAAAUGCCAUUGAAGUAUGCCUGCCUGAUCAGUCCAUAUCUCUGCCUCAUCUCAUAGUAAAAACAGUGGCUAAUGGCAGAAAAACACCCACUUGAACGCAGUCGGUACAGCAGCCUUCUAUCCAGGGCUUGGCUGCCUUCACGGGGCCAGAAUGAAAGCAAAGUGAAUGGAAACCGAUCCUAGUGCCAUUCAGCCACCAGUGGGAUGAGCAGAGAUUUCAAGCCAAGAUCUCUUCCCCAGCAUAAUGCAGUGUAGAAGGUGGCAGAGGAAAACAAUCCAACAGACGAGGAGCAUAAAGCAGAUCAGAAAGCCUCUCCUGCGCGGCUGUGGGGUGUCGUUGUGCAGGGGCAGAGCACGAGGCUGUGCAGCAGCUGGACGGGACGUCCUGUCCUUCCCUUCGGUCUGCCCCUGGCUGCAGGUUUACUGCCUGUCCUCUGCUCUACUGCGAGCCAGCGUUAUCAGAUGUGACUCAGAGAGGCUGCUUUGGGAAGCGGGCAGUGCUGGCGGCGUGUCGCAAGGGCCACAGCCUGUGCUUUCCAGUGUGGCACUGUCCUCUAGUGGAAAAGGGCUCUGUGCUGUGCUGUCCAUGCAGCUGCAGCUCCGGGGCACUUUUUGGGGGCCGGUCAUGGGAAUCAGGCACGGUGAGGCUCCAGGAGGCCACCGAGGCAGGCACAGUGUGGCUCCAAGGGUUUUGUGCUGCAGCGCCGUGGCAGCUACUUGGGCUGCUGCGGCCCCCAGAAAGCUUCUGAUGCAGCUUGUGGCUCCAGGAGGUCUCAGCAAUAAGGAACAGUAAUAUUCAAACCUUGAGCUUCUUGGGCCCAGUCCUAGGAGAGGUGACCCAUCUGUCAUCGGGUUUGAAGUGGAUGAACUGCAUUCCAGGCUAAGAAGAGAGUGCCUUUCAAGUUGAGCCUCCCUCAAUAAUCAACGUAUCGGUUUGUACUGAUAGAGAUCACAUACUGAAUUUCAUUACAGGGUGAUGCUUACCGUGGUCCUUGCAGCAUGCUGUCUACUUGGCAGCUGCUUUGCAUCCUGGAGUUGGCUGCAGUUCAGUGGUAAAGGAAUUCUUAACUGUUUGUCAUUGUAAAGCACUUUGGGAUGAAUGGUGUUACAUAAAUGUAAGAUUAUGAUUAGGCAUUAAUCUGCACCGAAAUAAUGAAGAAUAUUUAAAUGUGCUUUUUCUUCCAGUAAGUCUUAUUUAAUAUGAAGGGGAAUCAAUUUAUCACUGUCUUGCUAUGACUUUCUCCUACCCCUCCAGCUAGAAUUGCAAAUUGUGAAUUGCAGAGAAGAAGAUGGGUGGCUGUCAAUGGCAGCAUAAUUGCAAAUGGCCCCGUGAUCCAAACUGGAGCUAUUUAUCCUCAGCGACUUUUGGAGUUCUACUUUCAAAUGUUUUCAUCCAAACAAGCCAGUGACCCUGAACCUACACGGCAGUAUUACACAACAUCUCAUAGCUGCAGAGCUGCUGUGCACGGCCUGGUACAUGGUGUGACAGAUGAGAGCCCAGUGGCAGAGGUAAUGCUAUGGGCAUUAAGGCUGACUGCAUUGAUUUUAACUGAGCUGUGAGUGCCAGGAGACUCUGAAGGUCUUGCGGUAGCUCUGACUUUGAGUUUAAAAUUUAAGAGAUGUUGCCUGCAUUUACACUUCUGAAUAAAUCCAGAUCUGAUUAGAGACGCUAAAGUUCUUACAAUUACUUGCUGUGUGUACCUUAAUGAGCAGAAGAGAAAAGCCUUAGGACUGGGUUCUUGUUUUUCAGCUUUGUGCUCCACUUUUGACUCCAUUGGCAGUGCAGCAGAGCUCACAUAAACUUUUAUUGUAAAACCCUUAGCAAGGACAACAGCUACCCAGCUCUGUGUGACUGACCAGGGAUCCAGCAAGAAGCUGAGCCCUGCUGAUCCAUUCAUUCCGGAAGCUGCCUUAAUGUUCAGCACAAUUAUACCACGUGCCUCACACCCGUAUCCUUCCAAGUGAUUCAUGAGAUUCCAGGGCUUUGCUGUAACAUACAUCUCUCGUAUGUCAAU